rnacentral:tRNA from 2 species
GGGCCCUUAGCUUAGUUGGUAGAGCGCCUCGUUUGCAACGAGGAGGUCAUCGGUUCGAAUCCGAUAGGGUCCACCA